CCUACGGGAGGCAGCAGUGAGGAAUAUUGGUCAAUGGGCGAGAGCCUGAACCAGCCAAGUCGCGUGAAGGAUGAAGGAUCUAUGGUUUGUAAACUUCUUUUAUAGGGGAAUAAAGUGAGGAACGUGUGCCUUUUUGUAUGUACCAUAUGAAUAAGCAUCGGCUAACUCCGUGCCAGCAGCCGCGGUAAUACGGAGGAGGCGAGCGUUAUCCGGAUUUAGUGGGUUUAAAGGGUGCGUAGGUGGUUAAUUAAGUCAGCGGUGCAAGUUUGUGGCUCAACCAUAAAAUUGCCGUUGAAACUGGUUGACUUGCGUCUAUUUGAGGUCGGCGGCCUGCGUUGUGUAGCGGUGAACUGC
rnacentral:rRNA from 1 species